CACGUAGGGCGCAAGCGUUGUCCGGAAUUAUUGGGCGUAAAGAGCUCGUAGGCGGUCUGUUGCGUCCGCUGUGAAAACUCGGGGCUUAACCCCGAGCCUGCAGUGGAUACGGGCAGACUAGAGGUAGGUAGGGGAGAAUGGAAUUCCCGGUGUAGCGGUGAAAUGCGCAGAUAUCGGGAGGAACACCGGUGGCGAAGGCGGUUCUCUGGGCCUUACCGUGACGCUGAGGAGCGAAAGCGUGGGGAGCGAACAGG
rnacentral:rRNA from 1 species